rnacentral:rRNA from 1 species
UGAGUAACCUGCCCUGGACUUUGGGAUAACCCUCGGAAACGGGGGCUAAUACCGGAUAUGACAUGCUCUCGCAUGGGGGUGUGUGGAAAGUUUUUUUCGGUCUGGGAUGGGCUCGCGGCCUAUCAGCUUGUUGGUGGGGUGAUGGCCUACCAAGGCGACGACGGGUAGCCGGCCUGAGAGGGUGACCGGCCACACUGGGACUGAGACACGGCCCAGACUCCGUACGGGAGGCA